rnacentral:rRNA from 1 species
CCCACCCGUGUUUAUUUACCUUGUUGCUUCGGCGGGCCCGCCUUAACUGGCCGCCGGGGGGCUUACGCCCCCGGGCCCGCGCCCGCCGAAGACACCCUCGAACUCUGUCUGAAGAUUGUAGUCUGAGUGAAAAUAUAAAUUAUUUAAAACUUUCAACAACGGAUCUCUUGGUUCCGGCAUCGAUGAAGAACGCAGCGAAAUGCGAUACGUAAUGUGAAUUGCAAAUUCAGUGAAUCAUCGAGUCUUUGAACGCACAUUGCGCCCCCUGGUAUUCCGGGGGGCAUGCCUGUCCGAGCGUCAUUGCUGCCCUCAAGCACGGCUUGUGUGUUGGGCCCCGUCCUCCGAUUCCGGGGGACGGGCCCGAAAGGCAGCGGCGGCACCGCGUCCGGUCCUCGAGCGUAUGGGGCUUUGUCACCCGCUCUGUAGGCCCGGCCGGCGCUUGCCGAUCAACCCAAAUUUUUAUCCAGGUUGACCUCGGAUCAGGUAGGGAUACCCGCUGAACUUAAGCAUAUC